AUUAAUGAUAUAAUUAGAGUAAAGUAUUGUUAAGGAUGCAAUUAGAGUAAGGUAUUAUUAAUGGUAUUAAGAGAAUAAGGUGUUAUAAGUGAUGAUAUGAAAGUAAGAUGUAUAUGAUAGGAGUGGAGGAGGUGCAAGUGAGAAGCGUACGACUGACUGAUCUCUUUGGCAAAGCCAAAGUCCACUAAUCGGAUAUGACCCAUGCUAUCAACUAAUAUAUUUUCUUCAAAUACAGGUAGUAUUAGUUUCACAUCAGGAAAGGACGUAAAAAAGAGAAAAAAGAGAAAAAUAAGAGAAAUAAGAAGAAAUAAGAGAAAUAAGAGAAAAGAAGAAAAGAAAGAAGAAAAAAGAAAAAAGAAAAAAGAAAGAAUACAAAGAAGGGAAAGAAAAAAGGAAAAAGGG
rnacentral:rRNA from 1 species